rnacentral:other from 1 species
ACGGUUAUAAAUCAACAUAUUGAUUUAUAAGCAUGGAAAUCCCCUGAGUGAAACAACGAAUUGCUGUGUGUAGUCUUUGCCCAUCUCCCGCGAUGGGCUUUUUUUUAA